ensembl:lncRNA
GUGUCCUAAUUGUGCGCUGGACACUCCGAGUUCACUCCCUCCGCUCGCGCGCCGACAGCGCCGCGACAGCGUGCGCUUCAAGGAGGAAGAGGAAUAGGAGGUGGAGGAGGAGGAGGCGACGGCGGCAGAGGAGGAGGAGGCGCAGGUGGAGGAGGAGGAGGAGGAGGAGGAGGAGGAGGAGGAGGAGGAGGAGGCGAGGUCCUCGGGCGUGAAUCGGGACAGGGCCGGAGAGGCGCGCGCCGAUUGGCGGAAGAGCAGAACGGGCGCGUGUGCAUUUUGAAUCUCGGCGCGAGGAGAUUUGGACACGCAGUGCGGCUGUUUUUGAGCGGACGGAGUGAAGAUGGAGCCCGCGGAGAUGGAGAUGGAGAUGGAGGCGGCGGCGGAGAGACUGCAGCGGUCCCUCAACAUCGAUGGUGACGAGAAAGCACGCAGGUCCCUCAACAUCGAUGGUGACGAGAAAGCACGCAGGUAUCACACGCGCACGCACACCUCCUCACAGGGAGAAAAUCAGAGGGAAGAUCUGAAGAUGAUUCUUUAAAAUUCCACCCGGAGUGCUUUACCUGUGAGCUGUGGUGAAGGUUGUUUGAAUGAAUUGCUGUGCUGGGGUAAAAAGGCAAAAAUACGCAGCCUCAGAUCAGAGAGAGUUGGACGCCGUGUCAAUUAAAACUGAAAGUGUUGAUUUGUAAACGAAUUCUCACCUGUGUUACUGAGACCAUGUUGACAUGCAAAGGUUGUAGCCAGCCUGAAUGAAUUGAAUCCGAUUAUAGAUUAAGAUUGAGUGGUUUAUAUGCUCUCUCCACAGCCUGCUGGAAAUCUAGCCUUAGUCUAAUCUAAAUCUCACCUACAAUGAAGCACAUGUGUAAAGUACCACUUAAUCC